AGAGUUUGAUCCUGGCUCAGGAUGAACGCUGGCGGUAUGCUUAAUACAUGCAAGUCGUACGAGGGCUUUUAGCCCUAGUGGCGGACGGGUGAGUAACACGUGAGAAUCUGCCCUUAGGAGGAGGAUAACAGCUGGAAACGGUUGCUAAUACUCCAUAUGCCGAGAGGUGAAAGGAAUUUCUGCCUAAGGAGGAGCUCGCGUCUGAUUAGCUAGUUGGUAGGGUAAAGGCCUACCAAGGCGACGAUCAGUAGCUGGUUUGAGAGGAUGAUCAGCCACACUGGGACUGAGACACGGCCCAGACUCCUACGGGAGGCAGCAGUAGGGAAUUUUCCGCAAUGGGCGAAAGCCUGACGGAGCAAUACCGCGUGAGGGAUGAAAGCCUGUGGGUUGUAAACCUCUUUUCUCAAGGAAGAAGUUCUGACGGUACUUGAGGAAUAAGCAUCGGCUAACUCUGUGCCAGCAGCCGCGGUAAUACAGAGGAUGCAAGCGUUAUCCGGAAUCACUGGGCAUAAAGCGUCUGUAGGUGGUUUGGUAAGUCUGCUGUUAAAGACUGGGGCUCAACCCCAGAAAAGCAGUGGAAACUGCCAGACUUGAGUGUGGUAGAGGUAAAGGGAAUUCCUAGUGUAGCGGUGAAAUGCGUAGAUAUUAGGAAGAACACCAAUGGCGAAGGCACUUUACUGGGCCAUAACUGACACUGAGAGACGACAGCUAGGGGAGCAAAUGGGAUUAGAUACCCCAGUAGUCCUAGCCGUAAACGAUGGAUACUAGAU
rnacentral:rRNA from 1 species